UACGUAGGGUGCAAGCGUUAAUCGGAAUUACUGGGCGUAAAGCGUGCGCAGGCGGUUUUGUAAGUUUGUCGUGAAAUCCCCGGGCUCAACCUGGGAAUGGCGAUGAAGACUGCAAGGCUAGAAUCUGGCAGAGGGGGGUAGAAUUCCACGUGUAGCAGUGAAAUGCGUAGAUAUGUGGAGGAACACCGAUGGCGAAGGCAGCCCCCCUGGGUCAAGACUGACGCUCAUGCACGAAAGCGUGGGGAGCGAACAGG
rnacentral:rRNA from 1 species